rnacentral:rRNA from 1 species
AACGAACGCUGGCGGCAGGCCUAACACAUGCAAGUCGAGCGAGACCUUCGGGUCUAGCGGCGGACGGGUUAGUAACGCGUGGGAACGUGCCCUUCUCUGCGGAAUAGCCACUGGAAACGGUGAGUAAUACCGCAUACGCCCUUCGGGGAAAGAUUUAUCGGAGAAGGAUCGGCCCGCGUUAGAUUAGAUAGUUGGUGGGUAACGGCCUACCAAGUCUACGAUCUAUAGCUGGUUUUAGAGGAUAAUCAGCAACACUGGGACUGAGACACGGCCCAGACUCCUACGGGAGGCAGCAGUGGGGAAUCUUAGACAAUGGGCGCAAGCCUGAUCUAGCCAUGCCGCGUGUGUGAUGAAGGUCUUAGGAUCGUAAAGCACUUUCGCCAGGGAUGAUAAUGACAGUACCUGGUAAAGAAACCCCGGCUAACUCCGUG